rnacentral:rRNA from 1 species
AGCCAGACUCCUACGGGAGGCAGCAGUGGGGAAUAUUGCACAAUGGGGGAAACCCUGAUGCGGCGACGCCGCGUGAGUGAAGAAGUAUUUCGGUAUGUAAAGCUCUAUCAGCAGGGAAGAAAAUGACGGUACCUGACUAAGAAGCCCCGGCUAACUACGUGCCAGCAGCCGCGGUAAUACGUAGGGGGCAAGCGUUAUCCGGAUUUACUGGGUGUAAAGGGAGCGUAGACGGCAUGGCAAGUCAGAUGUGAAAGCCCGGGGCUCAACCCCGGGACUGCAUUUGAAACUGUCAGGCUGGAGUGCAGGAGAGGUAAGUGGAAUUCCUAGUGUAGCGGCGAAAUGCGUAGAUAUUAGGAGGAACACCAGUGGCGAAGGCGGCUUACUGGACUGUAACUGACGUUGAGGCUCGAAAGCGUGGGGAGCAAACAGGAUUAGAUACCCUGGUAA